AUUUUUAAAAGGCCGCAGUAUUUUGACUGUGCUAAGGUAGCAUAAUCAUUAGAUUUUUAAUUGAAAUCUGGAAUGAAUGGUUUAAUGAAAUAUAUUCUUUUUUAAUUUAAAUAUUGAAUUUUAUUUUUUAGUUAAAAAGCUAAAAUUUUUUUAAGGGACGAGAAGACCCUAUAGAAUUUUAUAAUUAUUUAUUAAUUUUUAAUUUAUUAAUUUUAAUAUUAUUAAAAAUUUAUUUUACUGGGGCGGUAAUUAAAUUUAUUAAACUUUUUAUAUUUAUUUCAUAAAUUAAUGUAUUUAUGAUCUUUUUUUAUUGAUUAAAAAUUUUAAUUACCUUAGGGAUAACAGCAUAAUUUUAUUAAAGAGAUCUUAUUUUUGAUAAUGUUUAUGACCUCGAUGUUGGAUUAAAUAAAAUUUUUAUAUGUAGAUAUAUAAAAAAUAAGUCUGUUCGACUUUUAAUAAUUUACAUGAUCUGAGUUCAAACCGGUGUAAGCCAGGUCGGUUUCUAUCU
rnacentral:rRNA from 1 species